rnacentral:rRNA from 1 species
UACGAAGGGGGCUAGCGUUGUUCGGAAUUACUGGGCGUAAAGGGCGCGUAGGCGGUACUUCAAGUCAGGUGUGAAAGCCCCGAGCUUAACUCGGGAACUGCAUCUGAAACUGCUGGGCUUGAGUUCUGGAGGGGGUAGUGGAAUUCCCAGUGUAGCGGUGAAAUGCGUAGAUAUUGGGAGGAACACCUGCGGCGAAGGCGGCUACCUGGACAGAAACUGACGCUGAGGCGCGAAAGCGUGGGGAGCAAACAGG